rnacentral:tRNA from 1 species
GCAGUGAUGGUUCAGCAGUAGAAUUUUCACCUUCUGUGCAGGAGACCUGGGUUCGAUUCCUGGUCAAUGUA